rnacentral:rRNA from 1 species
UACGGGGGGAGCAAGCGUUGUUCGGAUUUACUGGGCGUAAAGGGCGCGUAGGCGGCCACCGCAAGUCGACUGUGAAAUCUCCGGGCUUAACCCGGAAAGGUCAGCCGAUACUGCGGGGCUAGAGUGCAGAAGGGGCAACUGGAAUUCUCGGUGUAACGGUGAAAUGCGUAGAUAUCGAGAGGAACACCUGCGGCGAAGGCGGGUUGCUGGGCUGACACUGACGCUGAGGCGCGAAAGCUAGGGGAGCGAACGGG